GUCCAUCUAGCGUAAUGGAUAGCGUGUUGGAUUUCUAUUUCCAAUUUCGUGGGUUCAAAUCCCACAUGGGAUGGCCU